rnacentral:rRNA from 1 species
UGGGGAAUAUUGGACAAUGGGCGCAAGCCUGAUCCAGCCAUGCCGCGUGAGUGUUGAAGGCCCUAGGGUUGUAAAGCUCUUUCACCGGUGAAGAUAAUGACGGUAACCGGAGAAGAAGCCCCGGCUAACUUCGUGCCAGCAGCCGCGGUAAUACGAAGGGGGCUAGCGUUGUUCGGAUUUACUGGGCGUAAAGCGCACGUAGGCGGACUAUUAAGUCAGGGGUGAAAUCCCGGGGCUCAACCCCGGAACUGCCUUUGAUACUGGUAGUCUUGAGUUCGAGAGAGGUGAGUGGAAUUCCGAGUGUAGAGGUGAAAUUCGUAGAUAUUCGGAGGAACACCAGUGGCGAAGGCGGCUCACUGGCUCGAUACUGACGCUGAGGUGCGAAAGCGUGGGGAGCAAACAGG